GGGAGUAUAGCUCAGUGGCAGGGCGCAUGCUUAACAUGCACAAGGUCCUGGGUUCAGUCCCCAGUACCUCCC
rnacentral:tRNA from 1 species